UGGAUAUAAGCAGCAGCACCUCUUCGUCUCAUCGCCUGAGUGUUUGCUUACCUCGAUUAUCCUGCCGCCUCCUCGCUGCUCUGGUGUGAUCCAUCGUUGCUGGGUUCUGAGUGAGUGUGCCUUUUCCCCUCGUGGAUCAUCUACCUCCUGUGUGUUUCCCUGACGCUGUGGGUAUUACCGGCCAGACGCCACUCCUCGUGUGUACCUACCUCCUGUGUCCUCCCUCGACGCUGUCGGUGUUACCGGUCAGACGCCACUCCUCGUUUGUGUGUGCGUCCUUCCUCCUUCAUUGAUCCAUCUCCGGCGGAUUCCCCUUCGGGACGCCACGGGUCUGGAGACCCACGCCCGAACCCACCGGAGAACUACCACUGACGGACCAAGUUCCAAGCCGUCCUCUCAGUGGAACUACCUGACCGCUCUCCUACGAGUUUCACUACCUACGCUCCACUCCGUCCACAUCACCUACCUUCCAAUAAGACGACCCGGUCCGCUGAUCCAGUAUUCACUACCUGCUUCCUGUUCUUUCAAUAAACCAUAAUUGUAUUUUACUCGCCUGUCUGGUUGUGUUCUUGCAUGCGGGUCCGAAAGCUAAGUCCCAACAUGACAUCAGCACUUUUACCGUCACAGUUACCGUUCAGAAACUACCGUAUGUCAGGGUCUGUGUUUUUCCCUUUUUUUGUUUCUUGGUUUAUUUCCUUUAGUUGUUCUUAUCAUUGGUCUCUGAGCCGCUAUUCCCCGGACACCCACGAGAUGUCACCCAUGUGCCACCCCUGGAAAGCAGCGGGGUUCAACCUGGGCGCACACCUGCAGCUCGUUGAGAGGGCGUUAGCCCUGGAUAUAAGCAGCAGCGUCACUCCUCAUCGCCUGAGUGUUUGCUUACCUUGGUACAGACCGUUCCAGAGAGAGGCCCUCUGUGAUCUUCGUUGUUCUAACUUCUUGUUGUCUCCCUCGUCAGGUUAUCCAGCUGUCUCCUCGUUGUUCCCUAGCGACCAGUUCCCCUGCGUUGUGUGUGAGUCUGUCUUCCCGCUGUGGAUCGCCUACCCCUGUGUCUCUCCCCGACGCUACCGGUGUUACCGGUUAGACGCCACUCCUCGUGUGUUCGCCUUCCCCUCCUCGUGGAUCCUUCUCCGGCGGAUUCCCCUUCGGAGCGCUCCGGGUCAGGAGACCCACCUCCGAACCUCACCGGAGAAAAAGGAAAUCAUUACACCGGAACCUACGCCGUUUCCCCGAUCGUUGGCUUUCACUGCCCGCUCUCCAACGAGUUCAAGCUCAAACCAAUCCAAGCCGAUCACCCACCAUUCUCAAGUAAGCCCUCUCGGAUUAUUUCCGGAUAAUCACUUCCACGCMGUUUCUAACCUUGUGCCUUCUCAUCGGCAGUAAGACGACCUGGUCCUCUACUCCAGUAUUCAUCCCCUGAGUCCAAUAAAUCAUUAUUGUACUUUACCUCGUCUCUUCUGGUCGUGUUCUUGCAUGUGGGUCCGAAGGUUUAGUGCCAACAUGACACCGUAAUCAGUUCAGUUAAAUCUAAACUUGGCAACUUGUCUUUUUCAACCGUAAUAAAUGUGAUAUUCAAUUAACCUGUUAUGACUCAAAUUUUGGGCGUCCGUCCGUCCCCCUCUGCAACUGCUGCAUCGUUGUGGAAAACCUGGCGCAGCAGAGAUAUCUGCGGCUUAUAGUCUGGUGCGGUUUAUAUGUGUGUGUUUACUGGUUUUUUUUAAAAAAAAACUUUGGGGUUCCUGCUUAUAGUCAGGAAAAUAAGGUAUUUAUUUAAUAGUGUUGUUUCCUGG